GCAGCGUGCCGCUGCUCGCGCCGCCCUACGGUCCGCCUCGCGUUUCCGGAGUGUUAGUGGCUUGGCGGUCUGAGAUAAGAUGAUUGUUAAUGCGUUCUGACAACAGCCCUUGCGGGGACACCUACUUUCGGAGCAGUGAUAAAUCUCAGUACCCCUUGACUGAGGAAAAUCUGCGUUCCUUAAGCCACCUCUCAAAAAAUCAAAAACGUUUGUGUUCGGGAGUAAAGGGACUGUCCGACUGAAAUGAACUAGAGAGUAAAUGGUGGCUGGGAGGUAGGAUGCCAUAUCCAGCACUGCUCUCGAACUUCCCGGAGUGUGAGGAUCAUGAAGGGCGGAGAGAAGGUGAAGAAAUGAAGACAGGAUACAGAGAGCUGGGAUCAGGUGGAGCUCUCUCCUGUUGGCCAAAAGAACUGUUCACCUACUGCAGUGCAUUUAUUUAUACACUCAGCAGGUUGAGGUCAAGGGAAACCCCUUUGCCUAACAACUAGCUCACCUCUCUUGCUUCGUGUUCUGGGCGUUGGAAUACUGUUCACCUCUGAACAGUUGUGCCCUCUGAGUGCCCCCCCCGUCCUCCCCGCUCUGGGCCAGCACGUGUGAGCAAUCCGCAGCUCAGCCGCCCUGCUCCAACAGUGGGAUGUCUACAUCUGUAGCCUUUCUUAUAAUUAACACAUCGAGCAGAGGUGGAUGCUCGCCUUUGUUAUCAGCGUUACUUCACAGCCUCACACGUGUCACUGCACACUGCAGAGGGUGCCGUUCACAUCAAAUGUUUCUCCCGAUGGGAGGCUGUGAUUAUUCCCGUCUGUUUCAUAGCAGGGAGGAAAGGGUAGAAAUGCAGAUUCUACUUACAUAUCGCUCUUUUUGUUCCUUGGGUGUGUCUGCUGAGGUCAUCUUUUAGGGAAAUUGGGAUUGAGUUCCCUCCAUCCUCUUCCUGGGGAUACUGUGGCUCUCAGCUCUUGUUCUCGUUUGACAUAUCAUCUGUUUCCCAUCUCACCAGACAUCUUUUUCUCCAACUUUAGUCUCCCCUUUUGUUGCUUGUUUUCCCCUUGUCUUUCCAACUCAUGUGGAGCCCUGAUUUCUUGUAGAACCCUAAGUUUUGAUUUCUUAGGGCUUUUUCCUCUAGACUUUCCAACGAAAUUACAUUUUUACUCUUCAUCAGACAAAGCAGUUUAGUCUCAUAUAUCCGUCUCAGCUUGGUAUAUCCAAAAUCCUAUCUCCAUAAAAAGAAAAAGAUGUUACAUGAGGUCUUUCAAGACUUGUAUUGCAACAGGUUUGAAACUUUGACUCUUUUCUUUCAAGUGCAGUGGUACCUCGGCUUAGGAACCUAAUUUUCUCCCCAAUUCUGGUAGUAAACUUAACUGGAUGAGAAGCAAAUCAAAUUUCCCCCCAUAAGGUCAACAUUGAACCUAACCACUGAAUUUGAUUUAUUCUUGUCCAAUUCGGUUUGCUACCAGAAUUGUGGAAAGAAUCAAGUUCAUGAAUUGAGGUACCACUGUAUUGAUUUUAAGUGGACAUAAACCUUAUUUUCCAACUAAUAGAAAUUACUCUAUGCUUCCUUUAAAAGCAAAGCAGUUGCAAUCAUUUUGUAUUAAAAUAUCUUUUUCAUCUCAUUGUGUGUAUUCUCCUCUUCAUUACUUCACUCAACAAAUAAAAUUCUGCACAUGUUAGGUCUCAUGCACAGAAAAUAGGUAUGGAAUUCAAUGAGACCAAGAAAAAUCUCUUUACUUAUAAAGUUUAUAUUCUAGGGGGCUGGGGAUUUAGCUCAGCGGCACAGCACCUGACUGGCAAGCGCGAGGUCGUGAG